rnacentral:ncRNA from 1 species
GGUGGAGGGUCCACCGAAUUCGCCAUACAGGUGGUGAUUUCAAACUACCCUAAGGUGCUGUAGACAAAAGCUAUGGUAUUGAGCGUUAGGGAAAAGUCAGUAUAAGCUGGCAUGU